rnacentral:rRNA from 1 species
CGGACGGGUGAGUAACGCGUGAGAACAUGCCUUUAGAUUGGGGACAACAGUUGGAAACGACUGCUAAUACCGAAUGUGCCUUAGGGUGAAAGAUUUAUUGUCUAGAGAUUGGCUCGCGUCAGAUUAGCUAGUUGGAGUGGUAACGGCACACCAAGGCGACGAUCUGUACUUGGUCUGAGAGGAUGACCAGGCACACUGGAACUGAGACACGGUCCAGACUCCUACGGGAGGCAGCAGUGGGGAAUUUUCCGCAAUGGGCGAAAGCCUGACGGAGCAAUACCGCGUGAGGGAGGACGGCUUUUGGGUUGUAAACCUCUUUUAUCAGGGAAGAAUCGAUGACGGUACCUGAUGAAUCAGCAUCGGCUAACUCCGUGCCAGCAGCCGCGGUAAUACGGAGGAUGCAAGCGUUAUCCGGAAUUAUUGGGCGUAAAGCGUCCGUAGGUGGUUUAUCAAGUCUGCUGUCAAAGCGUGCGGCUUAACCGCAUAAGGGCAGUGGAAACUGAUGAACUAGAGUGCGAUAGGGGUAACAGGAAUUCCCAGUGUAGCGGUGAAAUGCGUAGAUAUUGGGAAGAACACCAGCGGCGAAAGCGUGUUACUGGGUCUGCACUGACACUGAGGGACGAAAGCUAGGGGAGCGAAAGGGAUUAGAUACCCCUGUAGUC